AGGCUUUCUUCACAGCUAGCUGAUCGGAUCCUUGCAGCUGUUUCUUCUGUAGGUCUCGGAGCUCACUGAGAACGUCCAGCACGCCUUCCCGGCGGGGCCCGGCCCAGGUGCGCACUAGAUGAGGCAGUCAACCAAGUCAAUUGGUUCCCGAUCAACUAAAUCUCUCCUAAAAAUAAACACUGCCGCGAGCUUCGAGAGUUCAGCGUGUCAGAGCCUCUAUGAUGGCAGAGCACCUGCCGCGAUGCCUGAUUGGUAGGGAGAAGGAUUUCCCGGGAGGGGGCCAAUACCAAAUUUUAGGGCUGUUAGGCUCUGAGCAGUCCCUUCGUGACCGGAUAAGUCAGAGACCCGGGGUUUGAGCCUUGCCCGGCGCUGAGCGGAGGGCCCAGUUUCGGGACCACAGCCUUGCUCCCUGGGAGCUCCGGGCGGCCAAUGCCGGGCAAGCCCAGCCCGGCACAGGAGGAGGCAGGGCCCGUCUCCGGAAAGAGGGCCAGAGGCAGAACUGAGGGCCUGGUUUUGUGUAAUUCGAUUUGGAUACAAACAGGCCAGACCCAAACUGGAAACGGCGAAGGGCUGGAUUAGCACCGAAGGGAUUCGAGGAGGCAAACGGGAAGUAAAAAUGCUGUGUGGAGCUGCAGAGGGCAAGGGGACAGGGGUUGCAAAGGAAAGAGCUUCGUGAGACUUUCUCCUUCCCGGCGUAGGGACCAGCAGAGUGCGGGCAGGUCAGCCCUGUCACCGGUUCGUUUAGGGAAAAAGCGCGACAUGGGGCCUGGGAGACAGGGGCAGAGGCGGUGACAGCGAGGGCCCCUGCUCGGGUGGGCCCGCGGGCCUCAGCUCAGUCCCCUCCCGAGGGACCGCGACCCCCGGCCCCGCGGCCGCCCGCGCGCACUCACCAGCCCGGGCUGCCCUGGGCGGAGCCGCCCCGCCGCGCUCCACAGCCGCUGCCUCUUCGACGCGCGCGCUGCCUCCAGGUGCGGCUCUAGGAGGAGGCGCCGCGGGCAGUGCCGGCCGCGCCCCGCGACUCCCGGUAACCCGAGCCCGCCCCGCCCCGCUAGGGCCAGGCCCCGCCGCCACCCUCCGCGCUGGGACGCCGGGGCGCGGGCAUCCCUGCCGCCUACGGAUCUCUUCCCAAGCACCUAGAACUUUCCAAAGCGUGCUUGGAAUUUAACACCUUGGUCGUCGAUCCCCGCAAAUAUACUCUGAUGAGACCGGCUUUCUUCCCAUACCGCCCAGGAGUUUCUCCAGGUGGCAUUCCUGUCGCCUUGAGGUGGAACAUCAGUAGAGGCUCGAGGCUGAAGCAAGCACAAUACACAAGGGACUCCGAUUCGUACAGGAACAUUUCGAAAACAGGAAAUCCUGAGGACAAUGAUUUCAUCCUGAGCAGGAACACAUUUACUCUUAUAAAAGUUUCAGCUUGAGAGACAGCUGGCAAGAUGGCUGAAUAGGAACAGCUCCAGUCUGCAGCUCCCAGCAAGAUCAAUGCAGAAGGUCCAAUUCUUUUCUAAAAGUCUUCUGGCUAGUCCCAGCAUUUCCAGGGAAGCUGAACAGGUGCAGCCGGAGGCUUGGAGCCACUAUGGAAGCAGCACAGUUGAUGCCUCAGAGGAUCCAGAGAAAAGACCAGAUAACUAUAAUUCAGCCUUCACCCAUAUUGUGUCUUUUUGAUUUUGUCUGAGUAUAUAUGCCGCACAACAAGCAGCUUAUCUCUGAGAUUCAAAUAGUUACUGCAAUUCCAUUAUCUGUUUUUUUACUGUGAGGGAUUUGGAGCCACAUUUAGUCCUACAUCACAGAUACAGGACUCAAGAGUCAAAGUGCACAGAAAUUUGAAUUCCGAUAAGAAUACUCUGAGCCAGUUUAUUCUGGGGUACAUACUUCAUUUUAUGCUAGAACUCUGCAAUCCUGAUGAAAGAGGGCUUGCAUUGCUCAACUAACUAACUCACCCGUCUCUCCUGCAGUAUUAGAAACUACUUCUGUAUGUACACGUUACAGUUUCUAGGAACUCCAUUUUUGCAAGACAGAUAGGAGCCAGAAAAUUUGUUCCUUCAACUGUAUAUCGCUAAUUAAACAUAAAAUCAAAUCAGCAUUUUAGGUACUUGAAUAACUAGUCUGUGCUUACUUUUAUUCAUAUGGAAGCAGUGUUUAAAUUAUUCUCUGAUUGUAAACUCACUUAUGUAAACCAUUAUACAGGAAAAAAAUGAGUAAUGAAGCAAAGUUCUGAAGCAGAUCUAUGUAAGCAAAUUUCAAUAACCUUCUUAAGAGAAUAUGACACUUAGUAGUGGUGAGGGACAUUUUAAGCUUUUUCUAUUUACAAGUUUUUUUUAAACGAGGGUGUUUCAAAGUAAAUAUUUGCUGUUACGUUAUGCCACAUGAUAUACUAAUAAAUGAAUUAAUGAAAUUAACCUAAAUAUCCAGUAUUAUUAUUGAAUAUAUAGCUACUAAAAUUUUAUAUUCAAAUAUAUCCAAGGACAUGAGGAAAUAAGGAUUUAAUUCUAAACAAAAAAAGAAGCUAUGAAAUAUAUAUAAUUUAAGACUAUAAUUUUGUUAAAAAUAUGUUUAUGUAAAUGCGCUAAAAAAAGUUCUUUAAGAAUAUAUGCCAAAAUAUUGACAAUGGUUAUCCCCUGAGUGAUUUUUAUUUUCAUCCUUAGGAUUUUCUGUAUUUUCUGUUUCACAUUUUGAACAUGUAUACUUUUACAAGAAAAUAUGAACUAAAAUUAAAAAUUUUUAAACUCCU
rnacentral:lncRNA from 1 species